CAUGUGCACGCUCUGUUCACACAUCCACUCACACCUGUGCACCAUCCGUAGUUCUAUGGUCUGGGGGACACCCUGUCUUCCUCCUGUAGCUCUAUGUCUUUACAAUUACACCGUAGCAAAGUCUUAUGGAAUGUGCACAGCGUUUAACGCAAUACAAUACAACUUUCAGCAACGGAUCUCUUGGCUCUCGCAUCGAUGAAGAACGCAGCGAAAUGCGAUAAGUAAUGUGAAUUGCAGAAUUCAGUGAAUCAUCGAAUCUUUGAACGCACCUUGCGCCCCUUGGCUAUUCCGAGGGGCAUGCCUGUUUGAGUAUCAUGAACACCUCAACUCUCAUGGUUUGCCGUGAUGAGCUUGGACUUUGGGGGUUUUGCUGGCCUGUGGUCAGCUCCUCUCAAACAGAUCAGCUUACCAGUAUUUGGUGGCGUCACAGGUGUGAUAACUAUCUACGCUCGUGGUUGUCUGCCGAGUAACCUUUGGUAACAGAGGUUUGCUGGAGCUUAUAAAUGUCUCUCCUCAGCGAAGACAGCUUUUUGACCGUUCGAUCUCAAUCAGGUAGGACUACCCGCUGAACUUAAGCAUAUC
rnacentral:rRNA from 1 species